rnacentral:rRNA from 1 species
AGAGUUUGAUCCUGGCUCAGAAUGAACGUUGGCGGCGUGGAUUAGGCAUGNAAGUCGAACGCUUCAUGUAGCAAUGCAUGAGGAGUGGCGUAAGGGAGAGUAAUACAUAGUUAGCUGCCCUCGGGNUCUGGGAUAGCGGCGGGAAACUGCCGGUAAUACCAGAUGAUAUCUUCGGAUCAAAGGUGUGAUUCCGCCCGAGGAGGUGACUGUGUCCUAUCAGCUAGUUGGCGGGGUAACGGCCCACCAAGGCUAAGACGGGUAUGGGGCGUGAGAGCGUGCCCCCACUCACUGGGACUGAGAUACUGCCCAGNACACCUACGGGUGGCUGCAGUCGAGAAUCUUCGGCAAUGGGCGCAAGCCUGACCGAGCGACGCCGCGUGCGGGAUGAAGGCCUUCGGGUUGUAAACCGCUGUCGUAGGGGAGGAAGCGACCGUGUAGAACGGAAGUUGACCGAUCCUAGGAGGAAGGGCCGGCUAAUCUCGUGCCAGCAGCCGCGGUAAUACGAGAGGCCCAAACGUUAUUCGGAUUUACUGGGGCUUAAAGAGUUCGUAGGCGGCGCAGAAAGUGGGGUGUGAAAGCCCCUCGGCUCAACCGAGGAAUUGCGCUCCAAACUACUGUGCUCGAGGAAGCUAGAGGUGAGCGGAACUGAUGGUGGAGCGGUGAAAUGCGUUGAUAUCAUCAGGAACACCGGAGGCGAAGGCGGCUCACUGGGGCUUUUCUGACGC